AUUGAACGCUGGCGGCAUGCCUUACACAUGCAAGUCGAACGGCAGCACGGGAGCAAUCCUGGUGGCGAGUGGCGAACGGGUGAGUAAUAUAUCGGAACGUGCCCAGUCGUGGGGAUAACGUAGCGAAAGCUACGCUAAUACCGCAUACGAUCUAUGGAUGAAAGCGGGGGAUCGCAAGACCUCGCGCGAUUGGAGCGGCCGAUAUCAGAUUAGGUAGUUGGUGAGGUAAAGGCUCACCAAGCCGACGAUCUGUAGCUGGUCUGAGAGGACGACCAGCCACACUGGGACUGAGACACGGCCCAGACUCUACGGGAGGCAGCAGUGGGGAAUAUUGGACAAUGGGCGAAAGCCUGAUCCAGCAAUGCCGCGUGAGUGAUGAAGGGCCUUC
rnacentral:rRNA from 1 species